GACGAACGCUGGCGGCGUGCCUAAUACAUGCAAGUUGAGCGCUGAAGGUUGGUACUUGUACCAACUGGAUGAGCAGCGAACGGGUGAGUAACGCGUGGGGAAUCUGCCUUUGAGCGGGGGACAACAUUUGGAAACGAAUGCUAAUACCGCAUAAAAACUUUAAACACAAGUUUUAAGUUUGAAAGAUGCAAUUGCAUCACUCAAAGAUGAUCCCGCGUUGUAUUAGCUAGUUGGUGAGGUAAAGGCUAACCAAGGCGAUGAUACAUAGCCGACCUGAGAGGGUGAUCGGCCACAUUGGGACUGAGACACGGCCCAAACUCCUACGGGAGGCAGCAGUAGGGAAUCUUCGGCAAUGGACGAAAGUCUGACCGAGCAACGCCGCGUGAGUGAAGAAGGUUUUCGGAUCGUAAAACUCUGUUGGUAGAGAAGAACGUUGGUGAGAGUGGAAAGCUCAUCAAGUGACGGUAACUACCCAGAAAGGGACGGCUAACUACGUG
rnacentral:rRNA from 1 species